ACUCCUACGGGAGGCAGCAGUGGGGAAUUUUGGACAAUGGGCGCAAGCCUGAUCCAGCCAUGCCGCGUGCGGGAAGAAGGCCUCGGUUGUAAACCGACUUUGUUCAGGAAGAAAAGGUUACUGGCUAAUACCUGGACUCAUGACGGUACCUGAAGAAUAAGCACCGGCUAACUACGUGCCAGCAGCCGCGGUAAUACGUAGGGUGCAAGCGUUAAUCGGAAUUACUGGGCGUAAAGCGUGCGCAGGCGGUUAUGCAAGACAGAGGUGAAAUCCCCGGGGCUCAACCUGGGAACUGCCUUUGUGACUGCAUGGCUAGAGUACGGUAGAGGGGGAUGGAAUUCCGCGUGUAGCAGUGAAAUGCGUAGAUAUGCGGAGGAACACCGAUGGCGAAGGCAAUCCCCUGGACCUGUACUGACGCUCAUGCACGAAAG
rnacentral:rRNA from 1 species